CAUCAGCAAAUACGACAUGUACAAAUAUGAUGGUAAAAGUAAUAGCAAAUAAGCAGUUAGCGAAAAUAAAAAAUAAUACAGAAAUGACAAUGAGCAUUAUUACACUAAAAAUGGAGCAAUACAAAUACCAAUAGAAAUAGCACUAUUGAUAAUGAACAAUACCAAUAAUUUACCUUUAUUAUCAACAAUACAGUUGUUCAAAUGCAACAAUACAUAUACGUGAUGAUAACUUGAGAUACGAAAAAAUGCAGAAAAAUGGAGGGGAAGAAAGAGAAGCAACCUAAAUUAACCUUGUAGAUUGUUAUAGUAACAAUAGGUUAAGCUUUGUCAGAGUGCCAUGUGUUAUACCCAGUUUACCCUAGGGCAACAACAUUAAUAUAUGUUUGAUGAAACGUGAUUAUGUGCAUGAGUGUAUGUGUGCAUAUGUACUUGUAUAUGUACAGUAUGUGUAUAUCUGUGUUUGUACAGUGAAUGUAUAUGUACAGGAUGUGUAUAUGUGUUUGUACAGUGAAUGUAUAUGUAUAGUAUGUGUAUGUGUGUGUUUGUACAGUGAAUGUAUAUGUAUAGUAUGUGUAUGUGUGUGUUUGUACAGUGAAUGUAUAUGUACAGUAUGUGUAUACAGUAUGUGUGUUUGUACAGUGAAUGUAUAUGUACAGGAUGUGUAUAUGUGUUUGUACAGUGAGUGUAUAUGUACAGUAUGUGUAUAUGUAUGUUUGUACAGUGAAUGUAUAUGUACAGUCUGUGUAUGUUUGUAUAAUGAAUGUGCGUGUGGAUGUACGAACUUUGAGUGUGUAAAUAUGUACUGUAUUUGUAUAUGUAUGUGGGAGCGUAGGUACCUAUGUAUGUGAGUAUAUGUGAAUUUGUAUGUACAAUACAUUUGACUCCCAGUUUGUGUGGGAGCUAGAGUACGGCCCCAGCCUCCCCGAGAGCCCAACCCACAAACAGUAGGUGUGGUGCCCAGAGAACCAGGGACCACCGCCCCCACGCAGCCAAGCCGGACAGCGACAGGAACCCCAGAGCCCGGCCCACUACGCCGCCCACAAGGGCCAGCAGCAGGCCGCAGACAGACGCACCCGGCAGAUGACAAGGCACGAGAAAAGACCACACCCCACACGGGCAGAAAGGCGGGACGCCCCGCAACCGGAUACCACCCGCAACCGGACGGGAAGACUGCCCCCGCCCGACCGGCAACCGGGCCCCCAUGAGCCCACCCCCCACCCCCGGAGAGCGCGGCGAGGCCAGCCUCCGGCCACCCCACCCAAGUCGGCCGCCACGGGACCACCCAGCAUGGGGCCACGGGAACCACCCACCCCACCCGCAGGAAAGGGACAAGACCGAAAAUUGUCUAUGCGACUGUUGGGACAGGAGAACCCGUACCCCGAGAGUCGAUCAGAAAUUUUUUUUUCAACACUGGAGCAUCAGACAGGAGUCCAACUGCUGAGGACAGAAUGACUGUGUGAUGGGUGAUGAGCCAAGAAGACGCCAACAAGGAAUCGUCGAACAAAAAGGUUUAUUUGUUUCAGCGAGCCUCAGACUGGAACUGCAGCUUCCAGGAGAAAGAGAACGGGCCUUAUUACUCUUCUGAUGUCCUCUCGGACCACUGUCCCUAGAUACCUUUUGCACGAAGACCCCCACUCUUCUUAACUCUAGCCUUGGAGCCGGCUAUUCUGGACAAAGCCCAAUUUGUUGCUUGGCCAGUCAAUCUAUUUCCUCUGAUUGGCUUGAGUCGUGUGACCUUUCGAUCCCUAUCCUCUACUGCUACUUGUGAGGGCUUCCUACCAGAUGUCGCUAAUGUGUUUACACUUCCUCUUAAAAUCCAACUGCUGCUAUCCUUUAAGUUCCCCAAUGUCCGGGGGCCAAGAGCCACCACUCUCUGGAGAGCUUGUGAUGGACAUCUGCACCUAAAGCUAUCUAGGGGCAUAUUUCCUUAAUAGGAUAAUCCUCUAAAGGAUUCAGUGACCAAAUACAAAUACAUGCUAGUUCACAAUCAUAUAAGAAAAUGGUACACGGUAUAAUUUACCACACUAUGUUCCUUGAAGGAGUAAUUAGAGAGGGCACAGAAACUAUUGAUAGUAUAGCACCGCUAAAGCAAAAAAGGGCCCCUAAAAGGCGCACCCCAUGGUUUACAGAAGAAAUUAGAGCUCAUAAAUUAUCAUGUAGAAAACUGGAACGCAAAUGGCGCGCGACUAAACUUGAGGUUUUCCAUCAAGCAUGGAGUAAUAGUUUAAUAACUUAUAAACGCAUGCUUACCUUAGCUAAAGCUAAAUACUACUCAAAUCUCAUCCGCCUCAACAAAAACGAUCCUAAAUUUCUGUUUAGUACAGUAGCAUCGCUAACCCAACAAGGGACUCCUCCCAGUAGCUCCACCCACUCGGCAGAUGAUUUUAUGAAUUUCUUUAAUAAGAAAAUUGAACUCAUUAGAAAGGAGAUUAAUGACAACGCAUCCCAGCUACAACUGGGCUCUAUUAACACAAAUACGACUGUAUAUACGACGGACACUGCCCUCCAAAAUAGUCUCUCUAUUUUUGAUGAAAUAACAUUAGAGGAAUUAUUACAGCGUGUAAGUGGGAUAAAACAAACAACAUGUUUACUUGACCCACUUCCUGGGAAACUUAUCAAGGAACUGUUUGUAUUAUUAGGUCCAUCAGUGUUAAAUAUUAUAAACUUAUCACUUUCCUCCGGCACUGUUCCCCUAGCAUUCAAAAAAGCGGUUAUUCAUCCUCUGCUCAAAAGACCUAACCUCGAUCCUGACCUCAUGGUAAACUACCGACCGGUCUCCCACCUUCCGUUUAUUUCCAAAAUUCUCGAAAAAACUGUUGCACAGCAGCUAAAUGAACACUUAGUGACUAACAAUCUCUGUGAACCUUUUCAAUCCGGUUUCAGGGCAAAUCACUCUACGGAGACAGCCCUCGCAAAAAUGACUAAUGAUCUAUUGCUAACGAUGGAUUCUGAUGCGUCAUCUAUGUUGCUGCUUCUUGAUCUUAGCGCCGCUUUCGAUACCGUCGAUCAUAAUAUUUUAUUAGAGCGUAUCAAAACACGUAUUGGUAUGUCAGACUUAGCCUUGUCUUGGUUUAACUCUUAUCUUACUGACAGGAUGCAGUGCGUCUCCCAUAACAAUGUGACCUCGGACUAUGUCAAGGUAACGUGCGGAGUUCCCCAGGGUUCGGUUCUUGGCCCUGCACUCUUUAGUAUUUACAUGCUGCCGCUGGGUGACAUCAUACGCAAAUACGGUGUUAGCUUUCACUGUUAUGCUGAUGACACUCAACUCUACAUGCCCCUAAAGCUGACCAACACGCCGGACUGUAGUCAGCUGGAGGCGUGUCUUAAUGAAAUUAAACAAUGGAUGUCCGCUAACUUUUUGCAACUCAACGCUAAGAAAACGGAAAUGCUGAUUAUCGGUCCUGCUAGACACCAACAUCUAUUUAAUAAUACCACCUUAACAUUUGACAACCAAACAAUUAAACAAGGAGACUCGGUAAAGAAUCUGGGUAUUAUCUUCGACCCAACUCUCUCGUUUGAGUCACACAUUAAGAGUGUUACUAAAACGGCCUUCUUUCAUCUCCGUAAUAUCGCUAAAAUUCGUUCCAUCUUGUCCACUAGCGACGCUGAGAUCAUUAUUCAUGCGUUCGUUACGUCUCGUCUCGAUUACUGUAACGUAUUAUUUUCGGGCCUCCCUAUGUCUAGCAUUAAAAGAUUACAGUUGGUACAAAAUGCGGCUGCAAGGCUUUUGACAAAAACAAGAAAGUUUGAUCAUAUUACGCCUAUACUUGCUCACUUGCACUGGCUUCCUGUGCACUUAAGAUGCGACUUUAAGGUUUUACUACUUACGUAUAAAAUAUUACACGGUUUAGCUCCAGCCUAUCUCGCCGAUUGUAUUGUACCAUAUGUCCCGACAAGAAAUCUGCGUUCAAAGAACUCCGGCUUAUUAGUGAUUCCCAGAGCCAAAAAAAAGUCUGCGGGCUAUAGAGCGUUUUCUAUUCGGGCUCCAGUACUCUGGAAUGCCCUCCCGGUAACAGUUAGAGAUGCUACCUCAGUAGAAGCAUUUAAGUCCCAUCUUAAAACUCAUUUGUAUAAUCUAGCCUUUAAAUAGACCCCCCCUUUUUUAGACCAGUUGAUCUGCCGUUUCUUUUCUUCUCUCCUCUUCUCCCCUGUCCCUUGCGAGGGGGAGUUGCAUAGGUCCGGUGGCCAUGGAUGAAGUGCUGGCUGUCCAGAGCCGGGACCCCGGGUGGACCACUAGCCUGUGCAUCGGUUGGGGACAUCUCUGCGCUGCUGACCCGUCUCCGCUCGGGAUGGUUUCCUGUUGGCCCCGCUGUGGACUGGACUCCCGCUGAUGUGUUGGAUCCACUGUGGACUGGACUUUCACAAUGUUAUGUCAGACCCACUCGACAUCCGUUGCUUUCGGUCUCCCCUAGAGGGGGGGGGUUACCCACAUAUGCGGUCCUCUCCAAGGUUUCUCAUAGUCAUUCGCCGACGUCCCACUGGGGAGCAGAAUGAGCUGGAUGUUCUCAAGCAGGAGCUGGAGGCCUUUGCUGUGCCCACCAACAUGACGUGGAGUUGGAAAGAACAAAGUAAUGGAAGCAUGUUGGAAGGAAACUGGACCGACAUUGUCAAAUCUC